UACGAAGGGGGCUAGCGUUGCUCGGAAUCACUGGGCGUAAAGCGCACGUAGGCGGAUGUGUCAGUCAGGGGUGAAAUCCCGGAGCUCAACUUCGGAACUGCCUUUGAUACAGCACGUCUUGAGUCCGAUAGAGGUGGGUGGAAUUCCUAGUGUAGAGGUGAAAUUCGUAGAUAUUCGCAAGAACACCAGUGGCGAAGGCGGCUCACUGGCCCGAUACUGACGCUGAGGCACGAAAGCGUGGGGAGCAAACAGG
rnacentral:rRNA from 1 species